rnacentral:rRNA from 1 species
UUUAAUUCGAAGCAACGCGAAGAACCUUACCAGGUCUUGACAUCCUCUGACACUCCUAGAGAUAGGACGUUCCCCUUCGGGGGACAGAGUGACAGGUGGUGCAUGGUUGUCGUCAGCUCGUGUCGUGAGAUGUUGGGUUAAGUCCCGCAACGAGCGCAACCCUUGCUCACUGUUGCCAGCACGUUAUGGUGGGGACUCAGUGGAGACCGCCGGGGUCAACUCGGAGGAAGGUGGGGAUGACGUCAAGUCAUCAUGCCCCUUAUGUCCAGGGCUUCACGCAUGCUACAAUGGCUGGUACAGAGAGUGGCGAGCCUGUGAGGGUGAGCGAAUCUCGGAAAGCCGGUCUCAGUUCGGAUUGGGGUCUGCAACUCGACCUCAUGAAGUCGGAGUCGCUAGUAAUCGCAGAUCAGCAACGCUG